CACACGCUCCUUAGAUCCACCUCUGGGGAGUCUUCCAGCUCUGAGUGUCACAGCUCCAGGGUGGAGGCUCCCAGCAGCUUUUCCGGCUGUACAGUUGGAGGUGCUUGAGUCAUUGGCGUGUGAGAGCAGUCUACCUGCUCCUUCAGCCCAGUUGCUGCCCUGGCUCCCAUAGUGGCCUUCACCAGGGUAGACAAGCUGGAGGGCGGACAAG